AACAAGUGAAUGCUGCAUAGGUUAUGUGGAUUUUUUCUUAACAUGAUCGUCCAACAAUGUCCAACAAUGACAGGAGGACAUUGUUGGAAAAAAAAUGUGCCAACUCCCAGUUUUUAUCUGGAAGCAGAAGGUUAGUUUGUACUGACCGGAAUGACGACAGCCAAUGAAAAGAGAGGCAGAGACUCAACUGGCCGGUCUGUCUGAGAGGAGUCUGCGAGAAACAUCAAUGGCUUGACUGAUAACCCCCCCAAAGCCCACCCGGCGCCCAACCCACCACAUUGACAGCUUCGAAGUAAGUGAGAAACUACACCCUGUGACUCUCUGUUCAGAUGUGUCAUAUGAAGGGAGGGCGUCUUUACCUGAACUACUGCUGCCAGAAACUUCCUGUUCUCCCUCUGGAGAUGAUCCACGAAGACAAUGAGUGUCUUUCCCAGACAAAGUCACUGAAGGAUUUUCUGCUCUAUCCGAUUUUCUGCAAAUUUUGCCUGAAUUUCGACCAGAAGAUGGCACUAACGCCCAGCCUUAUCAGCUCGGCGUCGCAUACCAAACAAUUGCUCCCGCUGGGCAGUUUAGCACGCGGCACAGAGUGUGUGGUUGUAAAAAUCGACCUUGCCACCAACGUCUCCGGUGGAUGUUGACUUUGAGUUUGCAUUGAGUCCACUUCGUGUACAUGUGGGCCUCAGUGGAGGGAAGCAUGGCCGAGAAUGUGUGAAUUUAAGCGCUUACGUAGAAGACAACUGAACUUCAUCUGUUUUCCCAAAGAUAUUUUGUCUCUUAUCAAAAAUGCUUCUUUUGUUCCACUGACUUGUUAGUUUAGGAAUCACUGAACAGCUUUAGCACCGCUAAAGCAUUAAAAAUUUAUCAUCAACCUUCCAGACUUCUCAGGUCUUCUAGUUCUGCUCUGCAUCCCCACAACCAAACAUGGAGAAGCAUCAUUCAGCAUCAUAAAUUUGGAGCAAACGUCCAGAAAACAGCA